CCUACGGGUGGCAGCAGUGAGGAAUAUUGGUCAAUGGACGAGAGUCUGAACCAGCCAAGUAGCGUGAAGGAUGACUGCCCUAUGGGUUGUAAACUUCUUUUAUAUGGGAAUAAAAUGUUCCACGUGUGGGAUUUUGUAUGUACCAUAUGAAUAAGGAUCGGCUAACUCCGUGCCAGCAGCCGCGGUAAUACGGAGGAUCCGAGCGUUAUCCGGAUUUAUUGGGUUUAAAGGGAGCGUAGGUGGAUUGUUAAGUCAGUUGUGAAAGUUUGCGGCUCAACCGUAAAAUUGCAGUUGAAACUGGCAGGCUUGAGUAGAGGAGAGGUGGGCGGAAUGCGUGGUGUAGCGGUGAAAUGCUUAGAUAUCACGAAGAACUCCGAUUGCGAAGGCAGCUCACUGGACUGAAACUGACACUGAGGCUCGAAAGUGUGGGUAUCAAACAGGAUUAGAUACCCUUGUAGUC
rnacentral:rRNA from 1 species